UGUGAAAAAAGACAUCAGAUUGUCAUGAUUCCCCCUUGAAGCAGCGUGCUCUAAGCGCGAAUGCGUGAGCACCUGCUUUUCCGUUGUUGACCGUAAUGACAUCUGGACACGUGUGUUUUGUUUAUGUUUCUGUCAUGUCUCCUCCCUGUUCUGUCAUUGGCUGGGAUUUCACGUGGGUCUGUAUUGCUCUCAGCUGCUAGCGGCUUAGACGCUGAUCAUGUCCGCAUAUAUACCGCGCUGCUCCCAGCACACGACGCGGAAGAUUAAUACCAUAGAGUUAGAUGAGUUAGAUUAGUUCGUAGCGUAGUCAUAGUCACGGUCCAUGUUUAGUUUAGUUUAGUUUAGUUUAGUUUAGUUUAGUUUAGUUUAGUUUAGUUUAGUUUAGUUUAGUUUAAUAGUCAUAGUCCCUGUCCAUGUUUAGAGUCAGUUCGCGCUGGAUUAUCCGCUUCCAGUCCCUCGUCAUAGUUCGUUUCUUGUUUUGUUUAUCGACCCUGUUUUCCGUGACCACGACCUAGAUUCCUGCCUUGCCCCUUGACGUCGCUCCGCUUUCGUGCUCCGCUGAGGACUUCGCUCAGUCUGCCAGCCCUGCUAUGAACGUCCGCUCCGCUUCCCUGCGCCGCCAAGAACACCGUGCAGUUUCCUGGCUCUGCUUGGGACAUUCAGCCCAGGGGGCCAAUUAAGUGGGAUGACUCAUGGCACUCCGGGAGAAGUGCCUUUGGGGGGGUUCUGUCAUGAUUCCCCCUUGAAGCAGCGUGCUCUAAGCGCGAAUGCGCAAGCACCUGUUUUUUCGUUGUUGACCGUAAUUACAUCUGGACACGUAUGUUUUGUUUAUGUUUCCGUCAUGUCUCCUCCCUGUUCUGUCAUUGACUGGGAUUUCACGUGGGUCUGUAUUGCUCUCAGCUGCUAGCAGUUUAGACGCUGAUCAUGUCCGCAUACCACGCGCCUCCCAGCACACAACGCGGAAGAUUAAUACCAUAGAGUUAGAUUAGUUCGUAGCGUAGUCAUAGUCACGGUCCAUGUUUAGAGUUAGUUCUCGCUGGAUUAUCCGCUUCCAGUCCCUCGUCAAAGUUCGUUUCUUGUUUUAUUUAUCGACCCUGUUUUCCGUGACCACGACCUAGAUUCCUGCCUUGCCCCAUGCAUGCCUGUUUGCCAAUCGCCUGACCUCUUGCAUGUUUAUGGAUUACGUUUUGGAUUUGUCUGCCUGUCUCUCUUUCAAAUAAACAACUGUUCAUCCUGCACUUGCAUCCGUCCUAUCUCUGCUCCGUCACGAUUCAUGACACAGAUAUAUUACAUUAUAAUAAUGUGUAUCUGUAAUAAUUAUACACAAAUCUAACAUGGCUAGAAUAUGUAAAGAUUUAUUUACACAAAUUGAUUGUUUUGUAGAAAACAUGAAAUACAUGAAGACUAAUAAAGGUGAACAUUAAUAAAAAAA